CCAGGAGAUGUUGCGUUGAGUGCAGAGUUCAGGACCCAGGGGGAUCCACAGCCCAGUUCCCAUUGAUGAUGGACCGGCCCCCAGGGCCACGAAGUGCUGCGGGUCAGAGACUCCACAGCCAUCAGGACGCCUGCCAGAGCCAAGGAUCCCAUCACAGCCGGGGCUCUGGAGAGAGUGAGUGAGAGCACAAAAACAGCCCCACCAUCCCCAGCCAGACCCAGGGACAUGGACAGGUGCCCGAUCAGAUCCUUCAGGCUCUGCUCAGCGCAGCUUGGCAGCCACCUGACCCCCAGUGAUGGCCUUCCCAGGGGAGUCCGGACAAAGCGUGUCUCCCACACCUCCUCCUCCCACCCCGACCCUUCUGCAGACCACUCACCACCUGUGCUGUCUCCUGACCCAGCCCCAGGGAGAAGAAAGAAGGCAUGGCGCAGGGGAAGCAGAGGGGCUGGAAGUCAUUCAGGGCUGGGAGUAAGCAGUAAGGUUUUACACUCGGGACUCAGCGAAAGGACAGCGUGCUGACUUCUGAGUCAGACUGAUCUGGAUUUGAACCUCAGCUCCAGCUCUUGCCAGCUAUGUGGUCUUCGACGAAUACUUCCACCCCUGUGUGGUGCAGUUUGCUCAUCUGCAAAAUGGGACUAAUCUAAUAUAUAUGAUGGGCUUGGAUA
ensembl:lncRNA ADAMTSL4-AS2 ADAMTSL4 antisense RNA 2